UUUUUGUUAGCUGAGGCGUAAAAAACUCAGGAGCAGCACAACUGAUAUUCACAUCCGUGAAGAAGGUCCGGGAGACUUUGAUGGCUUACACAGAAGCAUUUAUUGAAAAGUCAAUUGAGAAGAAUUUAGGAUUAAACAGUACGGUGUAGUGCCAA